rnacentral:lncRNA from 1 species
ACUUUUCUCAAAAUCAUUCAGCAUUAGUAUUCACUGAUGGUAGGUUUUAAAUAAAUUAAAUACCUGACCCGACCUGAGCCAGAUCCGAAUCAGAUCGCAUUUCAUGGAUUAGGACCGAGUUAUAUAUGGACCCGACCUGACCCGAUUUUUUAUCGAGAUGGGCAUGGGUCCAAUAUCAAGACCCGAUCAAGAAAUCGGAUCGGAUAGGGAUCACUCAGAACCC